GACGUAGGGUCCAAGCGUUGUCCGGAUUUACUGGGCGUAAAGAGCGCGUAGGCGGUCCGUUGAGUGUAGAGUGAAAGCUCCGGGCUCAACUCGGAAAUUGCUCUGCAUACUGGCGGACUCGAGGACGGAAGAGGUUUGUGGAAUUCCUGGUGUAGCGGUGAAAUGCGUAGAUAUCAGGAGGAACACCUGAGGUGAAGACGGGUUGCUGGGCUGACACUGACGCUGAGGCGCGAAAGCGUGGGGAGCAAACAGG
rnacentral:rRNA from 1 species